GGUCGGUUAGCUCAGUUGGUUAGAGCGUGGUGCUAAUAACUUCAUCCGGAUCAUGAGGAUCCUGAGCGAGUUGCAACGCCAAGGUCGCGGGUUCGACCCCCGUACUGACCA